CAGAGAGUAGUUUAGACUAGAACGCUGGCUUUGGGGGCCAGUAGCGGGGGUUUAAUCCCCCUCUCUCUGA
rnacentral:tRNA from 1 species